ACGCCCGAUUCUGGCGACGGCCAUCCGCGCCUGCGUGCUUCUUUUGCGUCAUUUCUCUCGCAGUAGCGUACUACAAUUCGGAGCGUACUACAAUUUCGAUUUCGUGGUAUUUUCCUCUCUCGACGAUCUUUUCUUUUUCAAGUAAGUUUUCAACUUAGUUUCCGAUUCAAUCGAAUUCACAGAUUAUUAGAUACUUUGGAUAGCUGACCAGCGGUGAUUCAGAGAUAUCGAUCGCGCGACGAACACGAUUUAUUUUUAGUCUCACUUUGGCCCGAAGAUUACGUCGGAAUUGAAUUUCUGUUUCAAUUUUUGAUCAGCGGCUCCACGCGACGUGAGAUUACUUUAUCAUUGAAUUAUUAAUAAGACACAGAAUUGCAUAGACAUCCGCAGUCUGUUAUAUUCUUCGCCUAAAUAAAUUCAACAAGGAAAGACUGUAAAAAAGAUGUGAAUUUAACAGAAAUAUGUAACUAAAGUAGAAAGAAAUUGAAAGUGCAAGAAAUAGAAAGUGAAACUUUAUACCAAUUUUAAUCUAAACGAAUGGGAAGUUAGAAUUAUGAUGGAGGUUUUCAAGUAUGGUUGAAAAUCGUAUAAAGAAGACUGAAGAUGAUACGAGAUCAUA